GACGAACGCUGGCGGCGUGCUUAACACAUGCAAGUCGAACGGAAAGGCCCUGCUUUUGUGGGGUGCUCGAGUGGCGAACGGGUGAGUAACACGUGAGUAACCUGCCCUUGACUUUGGGAUAACUUCAGGAAACUGGGGCUAAUACCGGAUAGGAGCUCCUGCUGCAUGGUGGGGGUUGGAAAGUUUCGGCGGUUGGGGAUGGACUCGCGGCUUAUCAGCUUGUUGGUGGGGUAGUGGCUUACCAAGGCUUUGACGGGUAGCCGGCCUGAGAGGGUGACCGGCCACAUUGGGACUGAGAUACGGCCCAGACUCCUACGGGAGGCAGCAGUGGGGAAUAUUGCACAAUGGGCGGAGGCCUGAUGCAGCAACGCCGCGUGCGGGAUGACGGCCUUCGGGUUGUAAACCGCUUUCGCCUGUGACGAAGCGUGAGUGACGGUAAUGGGUAAAGAAGCACCGGCUAACUACGUGCCAGCAGCCGCGGUGAUACGUAGGGUGCGAGCGUUGUCCGGAUUUAUUGGGCGUAAAGGGCUCGUAGGUGGUUGAUCGCGUCGGAAGUGUAAUCUUGGGGCUUAACCCUGAGCGUGCUUUCGAUACGGGUUGACUUGAGGAAGGUAGGGGAGAAUGGAAUUCCUGGUGGAGCGGUGGAAUGCGCAGAUAUCAGGAGGAACACCAGUGGCGAAGGCGGUUCUCUGGGCCUUUCCUGACGCUGAGGAGCGAAAGCGUGGGGAGCGAACAGGCUUAGAUACCCUGGUAGUCCACGCUGUAAACGGUGGGUACUAGGUGUGGGGUCCAUUCCACGGGUUCCGUGCCGUAGCUAACGCUUUAAGUACCCCGCCUGGGGAGUACGGCCGCAAGGCUAAAACUCAAAGGAAUUGACGGGGCCCCGCACAAGCGGCGGAGCAUGCGGAUUAAUUCGAUGCAACGCGUAGAACCUUACCUGGGUUUGACAUGGAUCGGGAGCGCUCAGAGAUGGGUGUGCCUCUUUUGGGGUCGGUUCACAGGUGGUGCAUGGCUGUCGUCAGCUCGUGUCGUGAGAUGUUGGGUUAAGUCCCGCAACGAGCGCAACCCUUGUUCACUGUUGCCAGCACGUUAUGGUGGGGACUCAGUGGAGACCGCCGGGGUCAACUCGGAGGAAGGUGGGGAUGACGUCAAGUCAUCAUGCCCCUUAUGUCCAGGGCUUCACGCAUGCUACAAUGGCUGGUACAGAGAGUGGCGAGCCUGUGAGGGUGAGCGAAUCUCGGAAAGCCGGUCUCAGUUCGGAUUGGGGUCUGCAACUCGACCUCAUGAAGUCGGAGUCGCUAGUAAUCGCAGAUCAGCAACGCUGCGGUGAAUACGUUCCCGGGGCU
rnacentral:rRNA from 1 species